rnacentral:rRNA from 1 species
UACGGGGGGGGCAAGCGUUGUUCGGAAUUACUGGGCGUAAAGGCUCGUAGGCGGCCAACUAAGUCGGAUGUGAAAUCCCCAGGCUUAACCUGGGAACUGCAUCCGAUACUGGAUGGCUUGAAUCCGGGAGAGGGAUGCAGAAUUCCAGGUGUAGCGGUGAAAUGCGUAGAUAUCUGGAGGAAGACCAGUGGCGAAGGCGGGUCUCUGGACAGUUCCUGACACUGAGGCACGAAGGCCAGGGGAGCAAACGGG